rnacentral:lncRNA from 1 species
UUAACAAACUUGGAAAAUAAAGAUAUGUUGAAGACACAUAUCAUUCACACUAAUCCCUAAAGCAGAAAAUAGAUCAGGAUACAUGGACUUCAUAUCCUUCACCACUUUCCAUGUAGCUUCUUCUACCUUAUGGUUCCUCUACAGAACCUUAACCAAAGCCCAUCCUUGGACAGUAAUCGACGAACCUACCUAUCAAAGAUCUCAACUAGGAACUCUUCAUAAGACAGAAAGUCCAACAUACCCCAUCCCUCCAAAGAAAAAACUGAAGAAGGAUCACCAUGACACUUCUUCAGCAUUGUGACAUAAAAUACCAGACGAACCGAGCUAAAGCUAGAAGGU